CUCGAAGUUAAAGGAACUUGGAGAGGUCUCUUGACAAUGCCUGCCCAUACAAGUGGGGGCUGACUUGGAAUGCCUGAGAUGGAGUUUCACUCUGUUGUCCAGGCUGGAGUGCAGUGGCCCGAUCCCGGCUCACUGCAACCUCCGCCUCUCAGAUUCAAGAGAUUUUCCUGCGUCAGCCUCCGGAGUAGCUGGGACUACAGGAGGGCGCAACAGCACGACCUGACAGGAUUUCACUUUGUUACCCAGCCUGGAGUGCAGUGGUGUGAUCUCAGCUCACUGCAGCCUCAAACUCCUGAGCCCAGGUGAUCCUCCUGCCUCAGCCUCCCAAGUAGCUGGGACUACAGCUGAAUUCUUUCUUCCAAGAAGAAUCAAGGACCAAGGAUCCCAUUUGAAUUCUCCACUGGUAUCAGGACUCCUGCAACAGAAGACAGAUUAACAGCAGAAAAGCAAACAUAAGUUUAAUAACAGGUACAGCUCCUGAAUAUGUCACACGCAUCCACGUGAAAAGACCACCAAACAGGCUUUGUGUGAGCAAUAAAGCUUUUACUCACCUGGGUGCAGGCAGGCUGAGUCCAAAAAAGGAGUCAGCUAAGGGAGAUAGGGGUGAGACAGUUUUAUAGGAUUUGGGCAGGUAGCGGAAAAUUGCAGUCAAAGGGGGUUGUUCUCUGGCAGCCAGGGGCGGGGGUCACAAGGUGCUCCAAUGGGGAGCUUCUGAGAAUCAUUGUCCAGGAGAAGGAAUUUCACAAGGUAAUGUCAUCAGUUAAGGCAGGAACCAGCCAUUUUCACUUCUUUUGUGGUUCUUCAGUUGCCUCAGGCCAUCUGGAUGUAUACAUGCAGGCUUGGGCUCAGAGGACUGACAGUAUACAUGAGAGAGAACUCAGAGAAAUCAGUAAACCUCUAAAGUUGUCAAAAAGUUUGACAACUCAAACAAAAAGUUUGAGAUCGCUAAAGAUCUCAAAAAGUUGUCCUCAGACUUCAGGCUUAAAUAUAAUCAUUCUCAAAAUCAAAGAAAGAGGGGCGUGGGGACAGGCCCUUUAACUGUAAAACAAGGAUAAGGUCUGUUAUGCAGAUUUAAGUAUAUACCCCUUCUUUUAACUAAAGUCUCUAGUGAUUUAGUUGGUCUUCUCUUCCUGGUACAAAGUGGGAAACACUUUUUACAAAAGGAGAUCUCUUUAUAGAUGUAAAUUUUUCUUAUAAAUGGAUAAACUUUCAGAGGUGCUUCUGUGUCUGAGGUGCCAUAGAGGUGAAUUGGGGGUGCAUAUACUGGUCUCUUACAGUCAUAUGUGGAGAAACAUUUUCUGAACCCCAUCAGUAGCAAUACAGCCUAUGUCCUUAUGACCCUUGUAAAGUGACUAUUCAGAAUCUAACAAAGGUUGAUGGAAUGAGCAUCUGACCAAUGUAAAUCAAAGAAAAUUACUGCAGCGAGUCUCAGUCAUGUUAGAGGUUUAUUUGCCAAGGUUAAGGAUGAGCACAGGAUAACAGGAACACAGACCACAGAAAACAUCUGUGUUUUCUGGUACUUUAAUAUUUAAAGGAAAAAAGUGGGUAUUAAGGGAAAGAGGGAAAAAAAAGGAGAGUAGAUAAAAGAGGCAAGUGGUUGCAUUUCUUUGAGUCUGCUCAGUCUUUGCUGAAUCCACAUUUUACAUGUGAAAGAGAGUAGAGGAAUAGUCACUUAUGUAAUUGUCUCUUGCUCAGGGAAUCUGCAUUUUUAUGUAAGAUAAAAUAAAUAUAGGGUAGAGGAAGCAGUUAGAUAUGCAUUUGUCUCAGGUGAGUGGAGGAAUGACUUAGUUCUGUCCUCUGCCCCAUAACUAUGAAGAUAAGUUGUCAAUUUACAUUGUCAGAGUGAAAUUUAACAGAACAAUUUUAGGGGAAAGAUCUUGGGGGCCUACAAGGAAUUUCCUUGUGAGCAAAUUGUGAGGGAAGUAUGUAGCUUUUUUAUCUUUGUAGCUAUUUUAUUAGGAACAAAACUGGAUGCAGGUUUGGGUGACCCAGUUCCCAGCUUGACUUUUCCCUUUGGCUUAGGGAAUCUGGGGUACUGAGAUUUAUUUUCCUUUCACAUCACCCAGGCCUUAUUUGAUCUCAGGUCUUCCCAUUUUGCCUCACCUCCAGUGCUCUCUUAGAACAGAAUACCUUCCCAGCAAGGAUAUCACACUCCUAACUUUUAAUCUAUUGCCUUCAUUUGCAGACUGUUCAAUCAUUGUUUUCCCCCUCCCAUUCUGUUGCAACCCAUUGUGAAAUUAAUAAACAAAUAAUAUCUAUUUUAGUUUGGCCUUGUCUCUGUACCUGUCAAAGCUGUAGCAUCCUCAAGGGCAGCCCUCAUAGGUGAAUUUCAGCCAUUCACUCUAAUUUCAAACAGUUCUCGUAACUAGAGUCAUGUAAUAGCUCUCAUAUGGACAUAAGGCUACUGAACUUGCAUUUGGAGAGAUCCUGAAUAACUCCACUAACAGGGGGAAUGAUUUUCAUUAAAUCAUCAACAUUCUAUGUCUUAUUUUUUUUUUUUUGCUACCA
rnacentral:lncRNA from 1 species